rfam:Myotis lucifugus cont2.65955, whole genome shotgun sequence.
GGUGGUUCUUGGGUGACGCAUCCUGUAAUCAGGCUCCCUCCUCUCUGGUUCCAGGUGCAUUACCUGAGAACCACA